GAAGUUGCACUGACCUGGCCAGCCCUGCCACUUACCAGGUUGGAUUCUAGUGAACUUGAUGAGUCAAGACUAUUGCAAUUGGAAAUCUGUUCUCCUCUGCUGCUGCAUUCCCUGCUUAAUACUCAAGCCAGAAACCAGGAAGGCUGUGGCUUGCCUUUUCACUUCUUGUGUCCUGUUUAAGAAAUAUCUGCUAUCCCAAGCAUCUGGCAUCUUUCUUGACAUAUGUAGCAGUUGCUUUUUGACAGCUUGCUUCUUCAGUGAAUGAAUAAAUUAAUAAAGAGAAAUGUGAUGUUCAGUGAUCCAUUUUGCAGCAUUUAUUAAAUACUGGUGCAUAAUGAUGGAAUAAAUUUUAUACCGUAAGGAUAAACCAGUAUUCUGGACUAAGCCAACGUGGGAGACCCUAGGAGGCCUGUUUGAGAAAGUGACAUUUAAAUUGAGACUUGGCGGUGGCUGUGGCUACAUAUCUAAUUGCAAACUCCUAGAGAAGGGCUCAACAGUGAGUGCUGAGGCUGCACAGAGGAGGAAGGCAGCACAAUGAUGGAAGGCUUCCUAAAGAGAUAACACUAACAAAGUUGACCUUAGAAUUGGAGUGCCUGGGUUAGAACCCUGCUGGUACCACCUGCUUACUGCAUGCUUCUGAUGUGAGUUCAGGAGAAGACACUGGCAAGGACAGCAAAGAACAGGAGAACACUCUAGCUUCCCUGAUAGCAUUCAAGGUGCUGUCCAAACUGACUGUGAUGGCACCCUCCAGACAGACAGCGAUGCCACAUGUUCAAGAUGGCAGAAUCACUAUCAGCUUCAAUUCCUGAAUGACUGCAGAGCAAAAUUUCUUACCUGCAACAUACACUCUAUUUUCAGCCUCCCUGGACUGUUACAUAAUGAUACAUAAAAAUAUUUCUUGUGUUGAGGCAUCCCAAAUUUGAUUUAUUUGUCAUCACAGUCUAUCCUAUGAAUAUAUUUCUGAUCCAAA
rnacentral:lncRNA from 1 species